GGCUGCUCUGAGUACAGUGGUGUUUACAGCUAAUUGAUCACAACCAGUUGUAGAUGCCUUUGUUCCUUCUACACUCCCACUGCUUUGCUUGACUAACCUAAA
rnacentral:Y_RNA from 1 species